GAUGAACGCUGGCGGCGUGCUUAACACAUGCAAGUCGAGCGAAAAUAAUUAGGAGCUUGCUUUUAAUUAUUUUAGCGGCGGACGGGUGAGUAACGUGUGGGCAACCUGCCUUUUACUGGGGAAUAAUCACUGGAAACGGUGACUAAUACCGCAUAAUAUUCUUGGAAGGCAUCUUCCGAGAAGGAAAGGAAAUAUUCGGUAAAAGAUGGGCCCGCAUCUGAUUAGCUAGUUGGUGAGAUAACAGCCCACCAAGGCGACGAUCAGUAGCCGACCUGAGAGGGUGACCGGCCACAUUGGGACUGAGACACGGCCCAA
rnacentral:rRNA from 1 species